rnacentral:rRNA from 1 species
AACGAACGCUGGCGGCGCGUUUUAAGCAUGCAAGUCGAACGGUAGAGAGGUGCUUGCACCUCUUGAGAGUGGCGAACGGGUGAGUAACGCGUAGGUGAUCUACCCUUGAGUUGGGGAUAGCUUAUGGAAACAUAAGGUAAUACCGAAUGUCCUCUUUCCUUUUGUGGGAAGAGAAAAGGAGCGUUUGCUUCGCUUAAGGAUGAGCCUGCGUAUGAUUAGCUAGUUGGUAGGGUAAUGGCCUACCAAGGCGACGAUCAUUAGCCGGCCUGAGAGGGUGACCGGCCACAUUGGGACUGAGACACGGCCCAG